rnacentral:rRNA from 1 species
CCCGCACAAGCGGUGGAGCAUGUGGUUUAAUUCGACGCAACGCGAAGAACCUUACCAGGGCUUGACAUCCCCUGACCGCGUAUGAAAGUACGUUUUCACCCUCGGGUGACAGGGAGACAGGUGGUGCAUGGUUGUCGUCAGCUCGUGUCGUGAGAUGUUGGGUUAAGUCCCGCAACGAGCGCAACCCCUACGUUUAGUUGCUAACAGGUGAAGCUGAGCACUCUAGACGAACUGCCGUUGACAAAACGGAGGAAGGUGGGGAUGACGUCAAAUCAUCAUGCCCCUUAUGUUCUGGGCUACACACGUGCUACAAUGGCCGGUACAGACGGAGGCGAAGCCGCGAGGCGGAGCAAAUCCGAAAAAGCCGGUCUCAGUUCGGAUUGCAGGCUGCAAUUCGCCUGCAUGAAGUCGGAAUCGCUAGUAAUCGCAGGUCAGCAUACUGCGGUGAAUACGUUCCCGGGCCUU